rnacentral:rRNA from 1 species
AGUGAACGCUGGCGGUAGGCCUAACACAUGCAAGUCGAACGGCAGCACAGUAAGAGCUUGCUCUUACGGGUGGCGAGUGGCGGACGGGUGAGGAAUACAUCGGAAUCUACUUUUUCGUGGGGGAUAACGUAGGGAAACUUACGCUAAUACCGCAUACGACCUACGGGUGAAAGCAGGGGAUCUUCGGACCUUGCGCGAUUGAAUGAGCCGAUGUCGGAUUAGCUAGUUGGCGGGGUAAAGGCCCACCAAGGCGACGAUCCGUAGCUGGUCUGAGAGGAUGAUCAGCCACACUGGAACUGAGACACGGUCCAGACUACUACGGGAGGCAGCAGUGGGGAAUAUUGGACAAUGGGCGCAAGCCUGAUCCAGCCAUACCGCGUGGGGGAAGAAGGCCUUCGGGUUGUAAAGCCCUUUUGUUGGGAAAGAAAAGCAGCAGGUUAAUACCCCGCUGUUCUGACGGUACCCAAAGAAUAAGCACCGGCUAACUUCGUG